ACGAACGCUGGCGGCGUGCCUAAUACAUGCAAGUCGAACGCAUUUUCUUUCACCGUAGCUUGCUACACCGGAAGAAAAUGAGUGGCGAACGGGUGAGUAACACGUGGGUAACCUGCCCAUCAGCGGGGGAUAACACUUGGAAACAGGUGCUAAUACCGCAUAAUUCCAUUUACCGCAUGGCAGAUGGAUGAAAGGCGCUUUUGCGUCACUGAUGGAUGGACCCGCGGUGCAUUAGCUAGUUGGUGGGGUAACGGCCUACCAAGGCUGCGAUGCAUAGCCGACCUGAGAGGGUGAUCGGCCACACUGGGACUGAGACACGGCCCAGACUCCUACGGGAGGCAGCAGUAGGGAAUCUUCGGCAAUGGACGCAAGUCUGACCGAGCAACGCCGCGUGAGUGAAGAAGGUUUUCGGAUCGUAAAA
rnacentral:rRNA from 1 species